rnacentral:tRNA from 1 species
GGCCACCAGGGUGUGCACCCGCCGGGCGCUCCGACUGCCCGAGGUCGGGUUCUGCCCCGGCGUGGCCCC